UACGGAGGGGGCUAGCGUUGUUCGGAAUUACUGGGCGUAAAGCGCACGUAGGCGGCUUUGUAAGUUAGAGGUGAAAGCCCGGGGCUCAACUCCGGAACUGCCUUUAAGACUGCAUCGCUUGAAUCAUGGAGAGGUUAGUGGAAUUCCGAGUGUAGAGGUGAAAUUCGUAGAUAUUCGGAAGAACACCAGUGGCGAAGGCGACUAACUGGACAUGUAUUGACGCUGAUGCGCGAAAGCCAGGGGAGCAAACGGG
rnacentral:rRNA from 1 species